rnacentral:snRNA from 1 species
GUUUUCGUCUUCAGAUCGCAUAAAUCUUUCGCCUUUUACUAAAGAUUCCGUGAGAGAACAAAAGAGAUUUUGACAAGUUUUUUUGGUGCUCUGCUUAACAGUGGGC